rnacentral:misc_RNA from 1 species
AACGCACAUUGCGCCCUGUGGUAUUCCGCAGGGCAUGCCUGUUCGAGCGUCAUUACAACCACUCAAGCCUGGCUUGGUAUUGGGGUUUGCGGUUCCGCAGCCCCUAAAACUAGUGGCGGUGCCGGUGUGGCUCUACGCGUAGUAAUUCUUCUCGCGAUGGAGUUCCCCUGGAUACUUGCCAGAACCCCCCAAUUUUUACAGGUUGACCUCGGAUCAGGUAGGGAUACCCGCUGAACUUAA